ACGAACGCUGGCGGCGUGCUUAACACAUGCAAGUCGAACGGAAAGGCCCUGCUUUUGUGGGGUGCUCGAGUGGCGAACGGGUGAGUAACACGUGAGUAACCUGCCCUUGACUUUGGGAUAACUUCAGGAAACUGGGGCUAAUACCGGAUAGGAGCUCCUGCUGCAUGGUGGGGGUUGGAAAGUUUCGGCGGUUGGGGAUGGACUCGCGGCUUAUCAGCUUGUUGGUGGGGUAGUGGCUUACCAAGGCUUUGACGGGUAGCCGGCCUGAGAGGGUGACCGGCCACAUGGGGAAUGAGAUACGGCCAAGACUCCUACGGGAGGCAGCAGGGGGGAAUAGGGAACAAGGGGCGGAAGCUUGAGGCAGCAACGCGGCGGGGGGGAGGCGGGCGUGAGGGUUGUAAACAGAUGUCGCCGGGGAAGAAGCGGGAGGGCGGGUAAGGGGAAAAGAAGAACCGGCUAACUACGGG
rnacentral:rRNA from 1 species